rnacentral:rRNA from 2 species
GCUUGCUUCUUUCAAAUCUAGUGGCAAACGGGUGAGUAACACGUAAACAACCUGCCUUCAGGAUGGGGACAACAGACGGAAACGACUGCUAAUACCGAAUACGUUCCUUAGGUCGCAUGACUUUAGGAAGAAAGGGUGGCCUCUACUUGUAAGCUAUCGCCUGAAGAGGGGUUUGCGUCUGAUUAGGUAGUUGGUGAGGUAACGGCCCACCAAGCCGACGAUCAGUAGCCGGUCUGAGAGGAUGAACGGCCACACUGGAACUGAGACACGGUCCAGACUCCUACGGGAGGCAGCAGUGGGGAAUCUUCCGCAAUGGGCGAAAGCCUGACGGAGCAACGCCGCGUGAGUGAUGACGGCCUUCGGGUUGUAAAGCUCUGUGAUCGGGGACGAACGGUCAGCAGACGAAUACUCUGCUGAAGUGACGGUACCCGAAUAGCAAGCCACGGCUAACUACGUGCCAGCAGCCGCGGUAAUACGUAGGUGGCAAGCGUUGUCCGGAAUUAUUGGGCGUAAAGCGCGCGCAGGCGGCUUCUUAAGUCCAUCUUAAAAGUGCAGGGCUUAACCCCGUGAUGGGAUGGAAACUGAGAGGCUGGAGUAUCGGAGAGGAAAGUGGAAUUCCUAGUGUAGCGGUGAAAUGCGUAGAGAUUAGGAAGAACACCGGUGGCGAAGGCGACUUUCUGGACGACAACUGACGCUGAGGCGCGAAAGCGUGGGGAGCAAACAGGAUUAGAUACCCUGGUAGUCCACGCCGUAAACGAUGGAUACUAGGUGUAGGAGGUAUCGACCCCUUCUGUGCCGGAGCUAACACAAUAAGUAUUCCGCCUGGGGGGUACGAUCG